AGUAAAUGUGCUCAAAGUUCUCUAGGGACCUCUAAGGGCUGAAAAAUUCUCCCUACCACAGUUGCUGUGGGAUAGAGCACAUACAGCGUGAAAGAAAUAGAGUGAAAGGUCCUGGCAAGACGCCCAUCCUACUUCUCGGAUAAACGGUAUGGGGGACCUGCUACAUAUCAUGUUGGGACAGCAGUUACACCAGACCCUGAGCAUAUGAAAUGGAGGCCAUCUGGACAUCUGGAUAAUGUUUCAUUGUGCAGCUGAAAAUUUGCAUUCAUCAUUUAAGGACUGUGAACAUCUCAGAGAGGUUGUUUGGCUGAAGUCAAUCAAUUCCUUAGAAAGAAGAAAUAUCCAAGACUCCUGGAGUAGGCCCAGAAGCUGUGUGCAGAGGCUGGAGCUGGAGGCACAGGUCAUGGCAACCAUGAGGUGUUCCUGAAGUCUGGAGCAAACUUGUCUUCAAGAAGGGCGAGACGGAGGAUCCAAGGAACUACAAGUCAUUCAGACUUACCUCAAUCCCUGGGUAUGAGAUAGAACAAAUAAUUUUGGAAACCAUUUCCAAACUCAUGAAGGACAAGAGGGUGACUGAGUAUAGUUAACAUGGAUUUAUGAUGCCUGACCAAACUGAUAGCCUUCUAUGAUAAGAUAAAUGGCUUAGUGGAUGAAGUGAGUACAGUGAAUGUUGCUUAUCUUGGUUUCAGUAAGGUUUUUGACGUUGUCUUCCAUAACAUCCUCAUGAACAUGUGCACAAAGUAUGGACUAAAUAUACAGAUGGUGAGAUAGACUGAAAACUGUCUGCAAAGCUCAAAGAGUUGUGAUCAGUGGCACAAAGUCCAACUCUAGGCCAGUCAGCGGGGUUGUGCUUCAGUCAUUGAUACUGAGUCCAAUACUGUUUUACAACAUCAUUAAUGACCUGGAUGAUGGGACAGAGUACACCCUCAACAGCUUUGCAGAUGAUACCAAACUGGGAAGAAUGACUGAUACACCAGAGGCUUGUGCUGCCAUUUCAGAGGUACCUCAAGAGGCUGGAUAAAUGGGCAAACAGGAAUGUCAUGAUUUCAACAAAGGAAAAUGUUUAAGUCCUACACCUGGAAAGGAAGAACCCCAUGUGACAGGCUGGGGAUAAACCAACUGGAAAGCAGCUUUGCAGAAAUGGCCCUGUGGGUUAUCAUAGAUACUCAGUUGAUGUGCCAUUGCAGGAAAAAAAAAAAAAAAAGAAAAAAAAAAAGUCAGUUGUUUCCUGGGCUGCAUUGAAAACAGCAUUUCUGCCAGUAGGUCAAGGGAGAUGACACUUGCCCUCUGCUCUGGUCAGGUGCAUUCUGGCCUCCCCAAGGCCAGACAAGAGACCUAGUCAUAUUGGAGUAAGUCCACAGCAGGGUCACAAAGGUGAUUAAGUAACUAGAGAAUCUGUUGUACAAGGAGAAGCUGGGAGAGAUGGUAAUGUUCAGCCUGGAGAAGAAAAGGCUCAGGGAGAAUUUUAGUCAUGUAUAUCAAUACAUGAUGGGAGGGGUUAAAGAUGAAACUAGGCUCUUCUCAUUGAUGCUUAGUGAAAGGUAAAGAGCCAACAGGCUCAAACUGAAAUGGGCAGAAAUUCCGUUUAAACUUAAGGAAGAACUUAAGGAAGAACAUUUUAACAUUAAGGAUGGUCAUUGGACCAGAUUGUCCAGAGAGACUGUGGAGUCUCCAUCUUUGGAGAUACUAAAAAUUGAACUAGACAAUGUCCCUAUCAGAAUGUUCUAGCUGGCUUUGCUCAGAGCAGGACUGGGCUGAAUGAUCUCGAGAGGUCUAUUCCGACCCCAACUAGUCUGUGAUUUAUAUGAUUUUUUAUGAAGAACUACAUCAAGUCUUUGGUGUAUCAGAAGUCUAUCUGAGUGACUUGCAAUCAUUUUGGGAUUUGCUUUGAAG